CCUACGGGUGGCAGCAGUGGGGAAUAUUGGACAAUGGGGGAAACGCUGAAGCAGCGACGCCGCGUGAGGGAAGAAGGAAUUCGGAAUGUAAAGCUCUAUUAGUAGGGAAGAAAAUGACGGUACCUGAGGAAGAAGCACAGGCUAACUACGUGACAGCAGCCGCGGUAAUACGGAGGGGGCAAGCGUUAUCCGGAGUAACGGGGGGUAAAGGGGGCGUAGGCGGCAUUGCAAGUCCGGCGGUAAAGGCGGGGGCUUAACCUCCGUACUGCCUUUGAAACUGGUCUUCUUGAGUGAACGAGAGGUAUGUGGAAUGCGUGGUGUAGCGGUGAAAUGCGUAGAUAUCAGGAAGAACACCGAUUGCGAAGGCGGCAUACCGGAGCCUAACUGACGCUGAGGCACGAAAGCGUGGGGAGCAAACAGGAUUAGAUACCCGUGUAGUC
rnacentral:rRNA from 1 species